GAUGAACGCUGACAGAAUGCUUAACACAUGCAAGUCAACUUGAACUUCGGUUUGGGUGGCGGACGGGUGAGUCGCGCGUAAAGAACUUGCCUCACAGAUAGGGACAACAUUUGGAAACGAAUGCUAAUACCUGAUAUUAUGAUUAUAUGGCAUCGUAUAAUUAUGAAAGCUAUAUGCGCUGUGAGAGAGCUUUGCGUCCCAUUAGCUAGUUGGAGAGGUAACGGCUCACCAAGGCGAUGAUGGGUAGCCGGCCUGAGAGGGUGAUCGGCCACAAGGGGACUGAGACACGGCCCUUACUCCUACGGGAGGCAGCAGUGGGGAAUAUUGGACAAUGGACCAAGAGUCUGAUCCAGCAAUUCUGUGUGCACGAUGAAGUUUUUCGGAAUGUAAAGUGCUUUCAGUUGGGAAGAAAAAAAUGACGGUACCAACAGAAGAAGUGACGGCUAAAUACGUG
rnacentral:rRNA from 1 species